GACGAACCGUCCAAACGUUUAUUCGGAAUCACUGGGCUUACAGAAUUCGUAGGCGGUCCAGAAAGUUGGGUGUGAAAUCCCUCGGCUCAACCGAGGAACUGCGCUUAAACUACUGGACUCGAGGGAGAUAGAGGAAAGCGGAACAUGGUGGAGCGGUGAAAUGCGUUGAUAUCAUCAGGAACACCGGGUGCGAAGGCGGCUU
rnacentral:rRNA from 1 species